GCUGGGUGUAGUGGCACGUGCCUUAGUCCCAGCUACUGGGGAGGCUGAGGCUGGAGGAUCGCUUGAGUCCAGGAGUUCUGGGCUGUAGUGCGCUAUGCCGAUCGGGUGUCCGCACUAAGUUCGGCAUCACUAUGGUGACCUCUGGGGGCAAGGGACCACCAGGUUGCCUAAGGAGGGGUGAACUGGCCCAGGUUAGAAAUGGAGCAGGUCAAAACUCCCAUGCUGAUCAGUAGUGGGAUCGCUCGUGUGAAUAGCCACUGCACUCCAGCCUGGGCAACUUAGUGAGAUCCCGUCUCU
rnacentral:SRP_RNA from 1 species